UAGGGAGGGGCUCGUUGUCUUGGUUGGUUGCUCCCUCGUUGCUCCAGCACCUCGACUCUUGGCUGUCCAAGGACAGUUGCCUCCUUCCCCAUGACUCAUGGGCCUACAACUGAGCAGCAGGAAUAUUCCAUUCAGAGAUCACUGCAUUCAGCCAUCUGAUUCUUCAAGAAGCUCAACCAGACCUUCCCAUCAUCAAUGAGAGAGAUGCAGGUGCUAAGAUUCUCAACACCAAGCUGAUGGGAUAGCAACUCAGGCUUACCUGGACCGACUAGAUGGACCACGUAACCCUCUCCUACAUAGACAGCCCAGUGCAAGUAGACUUUGCGAGAAAUCUCAAUGAGGUCUCCAGGCUGUGGGUUAUCACUUGACUGCAAUAGAAGAACCAGAGAGACUCUAGAAAGGUUUGCAGAAAAUAGCAGUGAUUUGGCAUCUGUAGCAACAACUUACUGCAGAACUGCCCACUCACCCACGGGCAGUGCCAGGUGAGAACGCAAGGAGGGAAGACUCUGAACUGUUCCUCUGGUAGAUUCACCAGAGAAUCCCUAGCAGAGACAUCAGGAACAGGUUUUGGCCUUGGUAUGCAUUGGUUUCAUGACCUCUGUGUGUGUGAAUCUGGAGGUGUGUGACUGUACCUGUACACACAUAUACAAGGCAAAGCAGCCCUUUAGGCGA